CCUACGGGAGGCAGCAGUGAGGAAUAUUGGACAAUGGGCGCAAGCCUGAUCCAGCCAUGCCGCGUGCAGGAAGAAGCAUCUAUGGUGUGUAAACUGCUUUUGUACGGGAAGAAACACCUCUACGUGUAGAGGCUUGACGGUACCGUAAGAAUAAGGAUCGGCUAACUCCGUGCCAGCAGCCGCGGUAAUACGGAGGAUCCAAGCGUUAUCCGGAAUCAUUGGGUUUAAAGGGUCCGUAGGCGGUUUGAUAAGUCAGUGGUGAAAGCCCAUCGCUCAACGAUGGAACGGCCAUUGAUACUGUCAGACUUGAAUUACUAGGAAGUAACUAGAAUAUGUAGUGUAGCGGUGAAAUGCUUAGAUAUUACAUGGAAUACCAAUUGCGAAGGCAGGUUACUACUAGUGGAUUGACGCUGAUGGACGAAAGCGUGGGGAGCGAACAGGAUUAGAUACCCUGGUAGUCCACGCCGUAAACGAUGGAUACUAGCUGUUGGGAGCAAUCUCAGUGGCUAAGCGAAAAGUGAUAAGUAUCCCACCUGGGGAGUACGUUCGCAAAGAAUUGAAAACUUAAAGGAAUUGACGG
rnacentral:rRNA from 1 species